rnacentral:rRNA from 1 species
UAAAACUCAAAGGAAUUGACGGGGGCCCGCACAAGCGGCGGAGCAUGCGGAUUAAUUCGAUGCAACGCGAAGAACCUUACCAAGGCUUGACAUGAACCGGAAAGGCCUGGAAACAGGUCCCCCACUUGUGGUCGGUUUACAGGUGGUGCAUGGUUGUCGUCAGCUCGUGUCGUGAGAUGUUGGGUUAAGUCCCGCAACGAGCGCAACCCUCGUUCUAUGUUGCCAGCGCGUUAUGGCGGGGACUCAUAGGAGACUGCCGGGGUCAACUCGGAGGAAGGUGGGGACGACGUCAAAUCAUCAUG